UAUCAUUACACAAUGAGCAAACAUUUAGACCAAAAUAGCUGCUCUGAAAAAACUGAGCUACAGCUACAGUUUGGUAAUGUUAGCUUGAAGUUUUAAUUGUUUAGUACAAAUACCCUAAAACUGGAGGAGGAGGAGGGAGGGCGAAAGAAAGAGACAGAUGUAUAAACACCAAUAUAAGAAUAUGUGUAAAUAUUUUGUGCUUUAAAAUAAAU